AGUGAACGCUGGCGGUAGGCCUAACACAUGCAAGUCGAACGGCAGCACAGGAGAGCUUGCUCUCUGGGUGGCGAGUGGCGGACGGGUGAGGAAUACAUCGGAAUCUACUUUUUCGUGGGGGAUAACGUAGGGAAACUUACGCUAAUACCGCAUACGACCUACGGGUGAAAGCAGGGGACCUUCGGGCCUUGCGCGAUUGAAUGAGCCGAUGUCGGAUUAGCUAGUUGGCGGGGUAAAGGCCAACCAAGGCGACGAUCCGUAGCUGGUCUGAGGGGAUGAUCAGCCACACUGGAACUGAGACACGGUCCAGACUCCUACGGGAGGCAGCAGUGGGGAAUACUGGACAAUGGGCGCAAGCCUGAUCCAGCCAUACCGCGUGGGUGAAGAAGGCCUUCGGGUUGUAAAGCCCUUUUGUUGGGAAAGAAAUCCAGCUGGCUAAUACCCGGUUGGGAUGACGGUACCCAAAGAAUAAGCACCGGCUAACUUCGUGCCAGCAGCCGCAGUAA
rnacentral:rRNA from 1 species